AUAUGCGUCAUUUUUGACCUAGCGCCUUGACGUGACAUCCGAGCAGAGCAGGGCAGUGUACAGGGAAGCAUAAAGUGCCUUAGACCGAAUGAGUGUCCCCAACUACACAGAGGAAAGUAUGAGCAGAGGAUGGAGCAGUUCCGCUGGACGUACACAGGAGGAAAGUGUCCUUCAACUGGAAAGACAUGGUCAUGUUCCUUGAGGGAGAGGACUGCUAGCAUUGAAAGUACGCUAUGCAGUAAAGGAAGGCUAACCUAUAUCAUAGCCUUUUAUGUGUAAAUAGGUUAUGUAAAGAAACACUGACAAUGGUGACUGACUGACUGUUAGACUUAUUCUUAGAGGAGUAUCUACCAUGGUGGAUAAAUGAAGAUAUCACAUAAAGGCUGUUUACCAUUAAAAAAAGAACAACACGUGCUCCGGACGUUAAAGAACGAGCGUAUCUUUGCUUGGCAGCCCGGCGAAGACCUGUCCACGGAGUAGAUGUGUGUCACGUUCAGACGCUGUAAACAGAUGUUCCGGUACGACUUCCUGACACGCGAUGACAUCAUGGGGAAGCCGUGGAGGACAGUGGUGCUGAAUGACUGGGCAUGUGUGACUGGCCCCUGGGUGCCAACUAUUUGAAUCCUUAACAAAUGGGUCAGAGACCCCAAGACUGCUGGUGAUGCCAGGAGUGAUGGUAGGAGAUAUGGGGGAAAAACUGUGUCAGAACGGACUGGACAAUGAAUAGGUUUGCAGUGUUUCACAAUGGCCAAGUCCCUCUGGAAAUAUGCUCAAUAAGAUCACUGAUGUCACCCUGAGGGAUACUCCGUCAUACCUUUUUAAGUGCUGUUGGCAGUGUAUAAAUGGCUGGUGUGUUUCCUUACGAGAGAGAGUCAGAGGAAGCUGGCCCAGGAGAGAAGGCUUCUGGCAAGGCUGACUUCGAGGCUCGCAGAUGUGUAAGAAGCUGUGGUCUACGGUGAUGGAGGGGAACAAGGUUCUAGAGCAUCCAUCCUGGUGGGCAGAGUUCACCUCAGACAAGCCUGUGGAUUAUUUUUCUGCUGUAGCAAACUGGCUCAAAUUAAGAUCCUACAUCUGUAUGGCCCUCAAUUUACUAUGGUAAAAUUGGGGUAAUUGUGGGAAACUGCCUAUGAAGGGAAGUAGCAACACAUUUGCCACACUGAUCCUCAACACUGGAGCUCCCCAGGGGUGCGUGCUCAGUCCCCUCCUGUACUCCCUGUUCACCCAUGACUGCAUGG